CCGAAAUAGUCUACGAUCCUACAAAGGGCUUGGUUUGGGCCGUUGGCCCUCCUGCCUUCUGUUUAAAUCUUCUUAUAGGUGCGGUGUUCCUUGUCAAACCUAUCCGGGCGAAAAACUAUGUCACCAUCAUGGACCCAUUUCAA